GGAGGGGUGGGUGAGCGGCUAAUACCAGCAGACUGUAAAUCUGCCGCCUUAAGGGCUACGCAGGUUCGAAUCCUGCCCCCUCCACCA
rnacentral:tRNA from 1 species